rnacentral:rRNA from 1 species
UGUGGUUUAAUUCGAAGCAACGCGAAGAACCUUACCAGCUCUUGACAUACCAAUCGCAGUUGGGAGACCCCUUUCUUCAGUUCCGGCUGGAUUGGAUACACGGUGCUGCAUGGCUGUCGUCAGCUCGUGUCCGUGAGAUGUUGGGUUAAGUCCCGCAACGAGCGCACCCCUGCCCUUAGUUACCAUCAUUAAGUUGGGUACUCUAGGGGACUGCCGGUGACAAGCCGGAGGAAGGUGGGGAUGACGUCAAGUCAUCAUCCGGUUACGGGCUGGGCUACACACGUGCUACAAUGGCGGUGACAGUGGGCAGCGAUGGGGCGACCCUGAGCUAAUCUCCAAAAACCGUCUCAGUUCGGAUUGUUCUCUGCAACUCGAGAGCAUGAAGUCGGAAUCGCUAGUAAUCGCGUAUCAGCAUGACGCGGUGAAUACGUUCCCGGGCCUU